rnacentral:rRNA from 1 species
UACGUAGGGUCCGAGCGUUGUCCGGAAUUAUUGGGCGUAAAGGGCUCGUAGGCGGUUCGUCACGUCGGGAGUGAAAACUCGGGGCUUAACUCCGGGCCUGCAGUGGGUACGGGCAGACUAGAGUGCGGUAGGGGAGACUGGAAUUCCGUGGUGUAGCGGUGAAAUGCGCAGAUAUCAGGAGGAACACCGGUGGCGAAGGCGGGUCUCUGGGCCGUAACUGACGCUGAGGAGCGAAAAGCGUGGGGAGCGAACAGG